CACAUUGGGACUGAGACACGGCCCAGACUCCUGCGGGAGGCAGCAGUGGGGAAUAUUGCACAAUGGGGGAAACCCUGAUGCAGCGACGCCGCGUGAGUGAAGAAGUAUUUCGGUAUGUAAAGCUCUAUCAGCAGGGAAGAAAAUGACGGUACCUGAUUAAGAAGCCCCGGCUAACUACGUGCCAGCAGCCGCGGUAAUACGUAGGGGGCAAGCGUUAUCCGGAUUUACUGGGUGUAAAGGGAGCGUAGACGGUGAUGCAAGUCAGAAGUGAAAGCCCGGGGCUCAACUCCGGGACUGCUUUUGAAACUGUGUAACUGGAGUGCAGGAGAGGUAAGCGGAAUUCCUGGUGUAGCGGUGAAAUGCGUAGAUAUCAGGAGGAACACCAGUGGCGAAGGCGGCUUACUGGACUGUAACUGACGUUGAGGCUCGAAAGCGUGGGGAGCAGGCAGGAUUAGAUACCCUGGUAGUCCACGCCGUAAACG
rnacentral:rRNA from 1 species